UACGUAGGGGGCAAGCGUUGUCCGGAAUCAUUGGGCGUAAAGAGCGUGUAGGCGGCUCGAUAAGUCUGCUGUGAAAGUCCAGGGCUCAACCCUGGAAGGCCGGUGGAAACUGUCGGGCUAGAGUCCGGAAGAGGCGAGUGGAAUUUCCGGUGUAGCGGUGAAAUGCGUAGAUAUCGGAAGGAACACCAGUGGCGAAAGCGGCUUCCUGGUCCAGCACCGACGUUCAGGCACGAAAGCGUGGGGAGCAAACAGG
rnacentral:rRNA from 1 species